rnacentral:rRNA from 1 species
GAUGAACGCUGGCGGCGUGCUUAACACAUGCCAGUCGAACGGAAAGGCUCCUGCUUGCAGGGGUACUCGAGUGGCGAACGGGUGAGUAACACGUGGGUGAUCUGCCCUGCACUUCGGGAUAAGCCUGGGAAACUGGGUCUAAUACCGGAUAGGACGAUGGUUUGGAUGCCAUUGUGGAAAGUUUUUUCGGUGUGGGAUGAGCUCGCGGCCUAUCAGCUUGUUGGUGGGGUAAUGGCCUACCAAGGCGUCGACGGGUAGCCGGCCUGAGAGGGUGUACGGCCACUUUGGGACUGAGAUACGGCCCAGACUCCUACGGGAGGCAGCAGUGGGGAAUAUUGCACAAUGGGCGCAAGCCUGAUGCAGCGACGCCGCGUGGGGGAUGACGGCCUUCGGGUUGUAAACUCCUUUCGCUAGGGACGAAGCGCAAGUGACGGUACCUGGAGAAGAAGCACCGGCUAACUACGUG